rnacentral:rRNA from 1 species
UACGUAGGGGGCAAGCGUUGUCCGGAUUUAUUGGGCGUAAAGAGCGUGUAGGCGGUUUGGUAGGUCCGCUGUGAAAACUCGAGGCUCAACCUCGAGACGCCGGUGGAAACCAUCAGGCUAGAGUCCUGAAGAGGCAAGUGGAAUUCCUGGUGUAGCGGUGGAAUGCGCAGAUAUCAGGAGGAACACCAAUAGCGAAGGCAGCUUGCUGGGACGGUACUGACGCUAAGGCGCGAAAGCGUGGGGAGCGAACAGG